GGGCUGGCAGUGAAAGGCUGCCCAUUUCCCUGGGGAGACACCACAGGCCCUCUGUGCCCAGGCACCUGGGGCAAGGUGAAGGGGAACCCAAGGAUCAAAACCAGCUGAGUAACAUUGGUAUAAAAAUAGCAGACUGUCCAUGAGGGGAUGGGAUGCUUUGCCUACUGCUGUGUGACUAGAGGAUAGGUAAGAAUAAGGAGGAAGAAUAGAAGAGGAAGGAUGAAUACUUUAUUAAUAUUGUUAUUUUUCUAGUUUUUUCCCUCAGAUAUCUUUGUGUGACUCUGGCUGAAUUAGGUGGGAGAAGCAGUUGUGGUUUUGGGAGUAAAAUUUGCGUCAUUAGGCAUUGUCUGAAACAGCCCAGCAAAGUAAAGGCUGGUAAAAGCUUACUGUUGUCCAGAUAAGUAAUAAAAAGCCAGCUCCUUGAGGAUAGAUAUGUACUUAUACAGGGGAUGAGGCCUUAUUCUGCAGAGGGAAGGUGUUGGAGCUGUGCAUCAGGUCUCCUCUCCCUCUUGGUGGUCCCUGCUACCUCCGUUGGAGCUGGAGAUGGCAGUGCCGCUGACACAGACUGAGAACCAAAGACAUACUAUCUUCUUUGCACAGUUUUGGUCAGGCAUGAUUUGUGGAAAACUGUAUCCUGGGCCUUACUGGACCAGACAGUGAGAAAGGGUGAGACAAGACACUUUAGAGAUGAGAGUUUCACCCCCUGCCACAACCCUGUUGCUCUCACAGACACAGGGAUGUUCCAUGAACCUUACAGCUCUACUCCUACGCCAGAAAAAAGGGCAGCGAGCCACGUAACCUGACAUACCUGCUUCCCCUCAUUCCAUUUGGACUCUUGUCUCCGUGUGUGGCCACUGAUGAUUGAGAAACUGUGGUGCUCAUUCCCUUUGCAGACAUCUCCAUUGCCUCUUAUAGGACUACUGCCUGGCAAAAGCCCUCCAGAAAGUGGAGAUGCCAAAAUAGAGACAUGCAUCCUUGCUUUGCCAAGGUGCAGAUGGCAGCCUGGUGCCACACAGUACUUUUGCUGAUUCUCUUUCUGGAGUGGUUGCAGAUGGUGGAAAACAAAAGGAUGCUCUCCUUGGGGAACUGCCUACAGACAUCCCACACAGAAACCCUUGGGAAGUGGAGUGGGAGGCAGGAUGCUGUGUAAUCAACCCUUGAUACCACCCUGUGGUGCACCUAGACACAAGCACAGGAUGUGUCCUCGGGUUAAUUCAACAAAAAGACCAUUGUGGGCUCACAUAUGAUCCACAUCAAAUCCUGGACAGCUGGCGGGGCACAGAUCUGGGAUUAAUAACUGUGGAUCCCCCGCACUGGAAAGGUGCAUAGUAGUGGUAGCUCAGGGACCCUGGCAGCUCUGAGGAACUGCUGUGUGAUGGCUGCCUUCUCAGUAAGAGGAUUAGCUAUAAUUAAAUGAUGCUGGCUUUAUUAAUUAAAUGGCUCUGUUCAAAUGAUCCUUUCACUGCUUUGGGGCAGGGUUUUCAGAAGUGCUCAGCCUUGCCCUAACCGCUCUUGCAGACAGUCGUCAGGAGUUGUACCAGCACCGCCAAGGAGACCAUAGAC